rnacentral:rRNA from 1 species
GACGAACGCUGGCGGCGUGCUUAACACAUGCAAGUCGAGCGGUAAGGCCCUUCGGGGUACACGAGCGGCAGACGGGUGAGUAACACGUGGGUGAUCUGCCUCGCACUUCGGGAUAAGCCUGGGAAACUGGGUCUAAUACCGGAUAUGACCACGGAUCGCAUGGUUUGUGGUGGAAAGGUUUACUGGUGCGAGAUGGGCCCGCGGCCUAUCAGCUUGUUGGUGGGGUAAUGGCCUACCAAGGCGACGACGGGUAGCCGGCCUGAGAGGGCGACCGGCCACACUGGGACUGAGACACGGCCCAGACUCCUACGGGAGGCAGCAGUGGGGAAUAUUGCACAAUGGGCGAAAGCCUGAUGCAGCGACGCCGCGUGAGGGAUGACGGCCUUCGGGUUGUAAACCUCUUUCGACAGGGACGAAGCGUAAGUGACGGUACCUGUAGAAGAAGCACCGGCCAACUACGUGCCAGCAGCCGCGGUAAUACGUAGGGUGCGAGCGUUGUCCGGAAUUACUGGGCGUAAAGAGCUUGUAGGCGGUUUGUCGCGUCGUCUGUGAAAACUCACAGGACAACUGUGAGCUUGCAGGCGAUACGGGCAGACUUGAGUACUGCAGGGGAGACUGGAAUUCCUGGUGUAGCGGUGAAAUGCGCAGAUAUCAGGAGGAACACCGGUGGCGAAGGCGGGUCUCUGGGCAGUAACUGACG